GGCGCCUGAAAGGCCCGUGGAUCCGAGACUGGGGUUGAGUCCUUGGGUCUUUUCAGUGCUGUGGGAGGAAAACAGGAAGGAGCCCAGCGCCACUCGCAGAGGAUCCCGGAACCUGUCUGUGCAAAGUGUGCAGCGAGCCGGGUCUCUUUGUGGGUUCUGAAAUGAGCUUUGAGGAGAAUUCUGUUGCAGAGGAGGGGGCCCACAGCUAUUUGAAACACAAUCCUGGAGCUCCCUAUUCCCAUCCAGUGACAAACACACCCUGGUGACGGUGGCCGGACAUUGAGGAUGUGCUGAGCGCCAGCCUUCCUUGAGGAUGGUGCUGCACUCACUUUCUGUGCACGCGGGCUGUGCACACAGGCCUGUGGUUCUUCCACUGCAAACUUGGAGACAAAGAGGAUUUGGACCUGGGAGUUUUUGGAUUGUCCAAGUACCACACACCCCAAACCACCCUGGGAAGGGUGGGAGCGCCCUGGAAGCAAAUGGGUUAAUGUUUCAUAGUGAAACUAAGUCAGAUAAAUAAAGCCUCAGUGCAUUCAGGUCAAA